GUGAAUCAUCGAAUCUUUGAACGCACCUUGCGCCUUUUGGUAUUCCGAAAGGCAUGCCUGUUUGAGUGUCAUGAAACAUCAACCCCCUCAGGUUUCUGAUCUGGGGUGGGGCUUGGAUUUGGGUGUCUGCCGCUUCUGCUGGCUCGCCUCAAAUGACUCAGUGGGAUAAGCAUCCGUGGCCUGACGUAAUAAGUUUCGUCUGGGCCGGGUGUGACGUCUGCUCACAACCUGUGCUCAUGCACAAUAUCUUUUGACUCUGGCCUCAAAUCAGGUAGGGCUACCCGCUGAACUUAAGCAUAUCAAUAAGCGGAGGA
rnacentral:misc_RNA from 1 species